AGAACGAACGCUGGCGGCAUGCCUAAUACAUGCAAGUCGAACGAACACUUCGGUGUUAGUGGCGCACGGGUGCGUAACGCGUGGGAAUCUGCCCUUGGGUUCGGAAUAACAGUUGGAAACGACUGCUAAUACCGGAUGAUAUCGAAAGAUCAAAGAUUUAUCGCCCAGGGAUGAGCCCGCGUAGGAUUAGCUAGUUGGUGAGGUAAAGGCUCACCAAGGCGACGAUCCUUAGCUGGUCUGAGAGGAUGAUCAGCCACACUGGGACUGAGACACGGCCCAGGCUCCUACGGGAGGCAGCAGUGGGGAAUAUUGGACAAUGGGCGAAAGCCUGAUCCAGCCAUGCCGCGUGUGUGAAGAAGGUCUUCGGAUUGUAAAGCA
rnacentral:rRNA from 1 species